CAGCAUCUGAACUGGACAGUCUGACCCUCAAGUCUAGACAAUUAAGUGCCUGUCAGCCAACAGUGGAGGUUUGAGGGCUGAGAAAUGGACAGAGGAGGAAACUGAGGGACUGAAGGCAGAGCAGCAGGAGUCUGACUCUAAAGGUCAUGGUAGGCGAGGGAAGAUGCCCCUUCUGUGCAAAGUCAUGCUGUCCUUCACCAGCUUUUCCUGCCAGGCAAGCCCUGGCACCCCCACACCUUCCCUCUAAAAGUGUUUCAUUGCUCCUUGCUCAAUGAGCCCGGCUCUCCAGGGCACUGAGCCCUGAGGCCCUCAGAGAGUGCUUUCAUGCUCCAAAGAGGUCUUCAACACAAAGCCAGUUGUGUGGGAGAGAGUGCCACAGGCUUUCCCAGGGCUGGGACUUCCAAAACGGGAAGCCUUUGUCCCCAACAAAGUCAGCUUCAGGAGAACAUUUGGAAAGACUGGUGGAGAGGUCCUGAGGUGUUUUCAGAAUAUUAUGAAUGUCUUCUCUGACAAAAGAAAAGAAAAGAAAAAUAAAGCAGCAUUAUCAGAUA